AAUGUAAUUGCAACUUCCUGAGAGUCUAUUUGACAUCUCAUUAAGUGGACACUGCUCACCAUUCCAUAAAUAAUGGCAGGAGUUGGGCUGAAUGCAUCCAAACCUGACGGAUGAACCGUAACGUUUGUGUUUGCACUAAUGUGUUUGCACUAAUGUGUUUAAAAAGACAUUUUAAUGUUUCAGUUCCAUUUCUGAAAUGAAAAGGCCUCAUGUGGUUGCCUGUUGCAUUUUCCUUUGAAUGGGGAUGAAGAGCAGUGGGUGGGUGCAUCUUUUUGCUUGCUCGGGUCACUUUUGCUAUUCAUAGCACUUCUUGGACUAGGGAGCAAUUAUAGCAAUGGAAAACAAGUAUACAAUCAUCAAGUUCAUUCAAGGAUUUUAUGAUGUUUUUUUUGGGUCACACUAUACUUGUCUCACUGUUUUCAUGUCUUGUCUAUGCAUUUGUUAAUAAUAUUGCCGAAAAUAAAACAAUUUUGCAUUCCCCUGUA